rnacentral:rRNA from 1 species
UAGGGAAUCUUCGGCAAUGGACGGAAGUCUGACCGAGCAACGCCGCGUGAGUGAAGAAGGUUUUCGGAUCGUAAAGCCCUGUUGUUAGAGAAGAACGUUGGUAGGAGUGGAAAAUCUACCAAGUGACGGUAACUAACCAGAAAGGGACGGCUAACUACGUGCCAGCAGCCGCGGUAAUACGUAGGUCCCGAGCGUUGUCCGGAUUUAUUGGGCGUAAAGCGAGCGCAGGCGGUUCUUUAAGUCUGAAGUUAAAGGCAGUGGCUUAACCAUUGUACGCUUUGGAAACUGGAGGACUUGAGUGCAGAAGGGGAGGGUGGAAUUCCAUGUGUGGCGGUGAAAUGCGUGGGUAUAUGGAGGAACACCGGUGGCGAAGGCGGCUCUCUGGUCUGUAACUGACGCUGAGGCUCGAAAGCGUGGGGAGCAAACAGG